GAUGAACGCUGGCGGCGUGCCUAAUACAUGCAAGUCGAGCGAACAGAUGAGGAGCUUGCUCCUCUGACGUUAGCGGCGGACGGGUGAGUAACACGUGGAUAACCUACCUAUAAGACUGGGAUAACUUCGGGAAACCGGAGCUAAUACCGGAUAAUAUAUUGAACCGCAUGGUUCAAUAGUGAAAGACGGUUUUGCUGUCACUUAUAGAUGGAUCCGCGCCGCAUUAGCUAGUUGGUAAGGUAACGGCUUACCAAGGCAACGAUGCGUAGCCGACCUGAGAGGGUGAUCGGCCACACUGGAACUGAGACACGGUCCAGACUCCUACGGGAGGCAGCAGUAGGGAAUCUUCCGCAAUGGGCGAAAGCCUGACGGAGCAACGCCGCGUAAGUGAUGAAGGUCUUCGGAUCGUAAAACCCUGUUAUUAGGGAAGAACAAAUGUGUAAGUAACUAUGCACGUCUUGACGGUACCUAAUCAGAAAGCCACGGCUAACUACGUG
rnacentral:rRNA from 1 species